rnacentral:rRNA from 1 species
UACGUAGAGUGCGAGCGUUGUCCGGAAUUAUUGGGCGUAAAGAGCUUGUAGGCGGUCUGUCGCGUCUGCUGUGAAAAUCCGGGGCUCAACCCCGGACUUGCAGUGGGUACGGGCAGACUAGAGUGUGGUAGGGGAGACUGGAAUUCCUGGUGUAGCGGUGAAAUGCGCAGAUAUCAGGAGGAACACCGAUGGCGAAGGCAGGUCUCUGGGCCACUACUGACGCUGAGAAGCGAAAGCAUGGGGAGCGAACAGG